CUUGACCGAGCCGAGCAAUAACGGCUCGUCCCGGUCCUGCCCGUAGGUCGCCAACAAGGCCUGUGCUUC
rfam:Actinoalloteichus hymeniacidonis strain HPA177(T) (=DSM 45092(T)), complete genome.